GCAGAUGUGGCGGAAUGGCAGACGCGCUAGCUUCAGGUGCUAGUGUUCGCAAGGACGUGAGGGUUCAAGUCCCUCCAUCUGCACCA
rnacentral:tRNA from 4 species